rnacentral:misc_RNA from 1 species
GCAAACUUGGUCAUUUAGAGGAAGUAAAAGUCGUAACAAGGUUUCCGUUGGUGAACCAGCGGAAGGAUCAUUGGUGGAAGGCCCUCCGGGCCUACGCCUCCAAACCACUGUGAACUUGAAAACCGUAUGCCCGCGGGGGACCGCGUGGUGGCCGCUGGGGGGCCGCCCGGGGGAGCCCGUGGGACGUUGAACCUGAACCGUCUGAAGGAAAAUACAUCUGAAGAAACACGAGCCCUGCCGGGCGAGUGGGAACAACUUUUGGCAAUGGAUCUCUAGGCUCUGGCAUCGAUGAAGAACGCAGC